GUGUGUGUGUGUGUAACUGCAGCAACAUGUAACUAUUGAUUGGACCAUUACCUCACAACUGAAUCCAACCCAAACCACAAAACAAAGCAUUUUUUUCAGCAAAUAAAAGUGAACAGGCUCCGAAAUAAAUCCAAGAAGUUGGCCUCGGUCAUCAGCAGACAUCUGGACAGGGUUAGCGUAGGUGGGGAUGGCGGUUUGUUAAAAUGUGUCACAAAGCCAGUCCGGGGUGUUCACAGUCAGUGUCAGCUGGGAUAGGCUCCGGCCCACAAUCUUAAAGCGAAUACAGUAUGAUUAUUGUAAGUGACAAGUCGUGAUUAAAGUCCCACGUUUGUGGAAGCUGAGCGCAAAUGCAUAACACUGAACUGUUGAAGGGCAGAAAGCAGUUUCAUAUCUUAAAGAGAGUCAAGAUCCCAUGUCUGUGUCUGGCUGUGUCUAAGACGUAAUUGAUAACACAAGCAGGUGGCUGGGUCGGCAGGAGAGGAUGGCUGGAGAUUUGUACAGAUCGUGACCAUCUGACAGAAGCUGGCAACAGAAGAGUCUUCUUUUAGCACGAUGAUCGCCCAGGUGUUCUGAAGAAGUGCAGCGCUCCUUAAAAUGCUGCCUCCCAGUGUGUUACGUCUGCCUCCGUAGCCUCUGCAUUCUCACAUUUGCACAUAUUGCUCCUCUUCAUUUGGCUGUCGCGGAGCUUGUUCCAAUCCCAGACUGUGUUCCCCUCCCUUGUAGUCUGGGACUUGUUUUUUUUUUUUCCCCCCUUUGCCCUUCCCCAAGUUUUUUGUUUUCAUUUAAGAAAAUCGGUGCACCCUUUUGGUGACCCGCAAGCCUCCUCUAUUCUGUCUUCCUGUAUUGGUCAUUUUUAAAUCUCUUGAGCGGCUUAUUUGGUCUUUUGUAAACGUUAUAGCAAAUAAAAUUGGGCCCUGUUCAGUGUU